rnacentral:rRNA from 1 species
UACGGAGGGUGCGAGCGUUGUCCGGAAUCAUUGGGCGUAAAGGGCGCGUAGGUGGCCCGGUCAGUUCGUGGUGAAAGCGCGGGGCUCAACUCCGCGUCGGCCAUGAAUACUGCUGGGCUGGAGCACUGUAGAGGCAGGCGGAAUUCCGGGUGUAGCGGUGGAAUGCGUAGAUAUCUGGAGGAACACCGGUGGCGAAGGCGGCAUCCGUGGACCAACACG